rnacentral:lncRNA from 1 species
UGAAUUUGAAAUCCAAUUGCUAGAGGGCGAGACUUCCUCCACCAGCACAUCGAUUGAACUCCCACCAGGGAACACUCUUUUCCUGUGCAUUAAUACCAUCAGAAUCACACAAACCAGCACAAUGAAAACAAAAUUAAAAGAAAAAGAAAAUCAAGUUGGUCUGUUUUACUUAGAAUAUUGGGAAAACACUCUUUACCCGUGCACCAAUAAUACCAUCAAAUAACACAGAACCCGCACAAUGAUAAACAAAAAUUAAAACCAAGAAAAUUAAACAGGUACGCGCUUUACAUAAAACUUUGGUGAAACACUCUUUUCCUGUGCAUUAAUAACAUCAGAAUCACACAACUCCAGAAAAUGAAAACAAAAAUAAAAUAAAAGAAAAUCAAAUUAGUAUGUGUUUUACUAGAAGUUCUGCAUAAACACUCUUUUCCUGUGCAUCAAUAGCAUCAGAAUCGACACACAAAAUGAAAAUAAAAAUAAACGAAAAGGGAAUUAGAUUGGUAUGUGUUUACUUGAAGUUAUGCGGAAACACUCUUUUCCUGUGCAUCAAUAACAUCAGAAUCACAGACAGACAAAAUGAAAAAAGAAAAUCAAAUUUAUAUUUUUUUACUUGAAGUUAUGUGGAAACACUCUUUUCAUGUGCAUUAAUAACAUCAGAUGAGAAUCACACAAACCCACAUAAGGUGAAUAAAAAUAAAAGAAUAACAGUAUCAGCAGAAUCACACUCAUUUGCUCCGACUUCAUGUGUUUCUAUCUUUUGCUCCUACUUCAGGUGGAACACUCAUUUUGUGUGCAUAUAUACCACCAGAAUCAGACGAGAGAAUAAAAAUAACAGUAUAAAACAUCAAAUGACCCUUUUCUAAUGCAUUCAUAUCUUCAAAAUCACAGUGAACAGAUAAAAUAAAUAAAAUUAAAAAAUAAAAGGAAAACAUCAAAUGUGCAAAAACAGAAUUCUGGUCAAACACUCUUUUUCUGCGCAUCACCACAAUAAGAAACCACAUAAACAAAAUACAAACAAAAGAAGAAAAUCAAAUGUGUUUGUGUUAUUAAUUGGAAAUUCUCUAUGUAUAUGCAUCAACAAAU